rnacentral:tRNA from 5 species
GGAAAGUUGGCAGAGUGGUCGAAUGCGGCGGUCUUGAAAACCGUUGUCUGUAACAGGACCGGGGGUUCGAAUCCCUCACUUUCCGCCA